GAUGCCAGGGUCAAAAGGUCAUGAUUUUCAUGCUUGCAUGAAAAAUCAUGACAUCUUGACCCGCUAAACAUGAGAAAGUAGCCAUUUUUCGAAGAAAAAUGAGCGGAUUUCGAAUGUUUUUCGGAUUUUGGGAGCGCGGGAGCGCGGAAAAAUCCGAAGGCAUC
rnacentral:sRNA from 1 species